CCCAGCUGAUAUAGAGAUUUUGAUUAAGUUACCUUCUGUUCUGCUUAGGUGUGGGUAAAUAAAGGGACAAUUGUAAUUUUUAAAAUAUAUUCAUGAUGUUCAAUGAAAUGAAUCAGCUUAGAAAAACUAUACCGUUUAGUCAAAAUAACCUUUACCUCACUAGAUGUUGCUAAGGCAACCUAAAAUGUAAACAUGUUCCGCCCAAUGCUCCCUAGCUAGUGCUUAGAGAUAUAAAAAUAAAUCAGACCCUGAGACUUCUCAGAGGGAACCUGCACAUUGCUUGCGAAGGUUCUUUCCUCACUCGCCGGCCCGAGACCUCGCCCCUUCCUACCCUGCAUCGACUGCAGCUGGUCUGCGGCAAAACUGAGCUGAGAAAUAUGAAUUCAAAAAUCAACUUUUAUAGAAUACUGAUCUUUGAUCAUUUUUACAAAUGGUUGGAAUACAAAUCAAAUAUAGACUUUAACUUCAUCUGAAGCUCAAGUUCGGAAAAUAAACAGAAAACAAAACAAACUCUGAAAUGGCUUAAGCAGACUAGCCUAUCCUUUGAUGGAUAAUGAAAACCCCUAACGUCAAAGCACACAGCUGAGCCCACGGCCUGCCUAACGCUCAGGUGGUGCACUUUGCAGAAUCCCACGACUUUGAUGCCAGACCUGCCACUCUUUCAAAUGCUAAGGUCCUGUAUCUGUCCCCCAUCACUUUCCUUUAUCUCAUUUGCUUAGCCUCUAUUGUAGUUAAUUAUAGAAGUUCAGGUAAAGAGAAGUCAAAUGAAGUAAAUGUUUUGGAAAUCAUAUUGUUUUGGCCGAUAAGAAAAAUAAGAUACAUAUUAUUCAAUAAUUUAGGGCUAUAAGCAAAUCCUGUCUCCUUGAAAAAUUCACCAUUUAUUCUUCAUAGUUGUAUAAUUAAAAAUGUAAAAGCAACUGAGAUGGGGCUCUUUGUACAUAAAUGAUGUAUGUACAUGACUUUUGUUUUCUCUUUUGGGUUGCAUGUAUUUUUAAUUCUUCAACGUUCUUACCUUUCUGGGUCAUACCCCUUUGCCUUCUCACACCUUAUGAUAGAAACGGUCUUCUUAGUAGCUCAGUGCACACAAUAUACUAGGUGUGCAGUGGCUGAUGGAAACUGGAGGACCUCUGAACACCAGCAGCUACACCAGGACUGGCUGUGUAGAUAUUAGUCAAUGUGUUGUUUGGAGCCAGACUUUGGAAAGAUAACUAAGCAGAAAGAAGACUUUUUGUGUUGGGUUUCUGAUCAGAAGACUGAAGUGACUGAUGAAUUCUUUGUUGAAAGGGCAGAGUCAUGUAAAAGACUUUCCCCUUCAAAGACAAAGAGGAUAUAAGGUUUGUAAAAAUCUCUCCAGCCCAUGAGUUUGUCAGAACCAGACUCACUAUCUCUGGGAGGUGUGUAUUAAAUGUUCAAAACACUUGGGAUUAGGGUUCAUGAAAAAUCCAUGUAAAUCUGUGAAUCUUGUGAACCUAUGAAUAUGUUGACCAAUGUGCUUCACUCAAAGUAAAGUAAAUUAUUAUGAAUAUUUUCCAUCAGAAAUUUAUGCAAUGAUGAGAAAUCAGACAAAGAUGAUUCUCAUCAAAUUAAAUAUGAUGAAAAGGUACCUGAUCAGAAAUACUAUGUCAAAUUAUAUGCUCUUCACCACUUGAUAGGAAAGGCCCUAGGUGUUAUAGUGUAGGGAUUUGCAGGAAGAAGAACUCAAAGUUCAUGAGAAAUACAAAGUCCAUGCGAAUGGUGAUAUCAUGUGGGGGAAAUACCGGAGUUAAACACUGACCAGUGAAUCAUUCUUGUCACAUCAACAAAACUACGUAAACCUAAACAUCUCUGCCAUUGACUUUAUUCCAGACUUUUUGUAAGAUAAACUUGCUUGUCAAUUCAAAGAGUGAUUUGUUCUUGAGGCCUAUUCUUCCAAACCAAAAGCCAAUCAAUAGCUUCAAGACUGUUGAGGCUUGGUGUUCUCGAGUUACAAAUAUCUGGGCCCUUCUAGAUAAAGGACAGCCUGUCAAUCAGACAGACAUGGCCACUCUUGAACCUAAUAAGGUUUUUAAUGAGUAGCUUGAGACAGGGGAUAACCCCUACUUCAAAUUCAACCAUCCAGACACAGAGUUCCAAGAGAAGCUCCAGAAUGAUGCUUCUUUCAGAGGUAAUCCUUGGAAGGCUAUAUUCUAUGCUUUAAAAGUGUGAAUUGGAACCCUUGACUGUUUGAAGAAGGCAAUGUCACCCCCAAUUAUAAAGGACAAACUAAAUGACCUGAUCAUGAGGUUUUUAAAACAUCUUAUGAAAAGAAGGUAAAUAUUGACAAUGCUGGAUCUUCACCUUCCUCAGAGGGUGAAUCAUUAGUAGUUCCCAACAACUAAACUUUGGGAUCUACUACAGUGUCUGUGGGGAGAGGGGGCACAGCGGUAGGUGACAGUAGCCAGGGUGCCUAUAAGGAGGCUAAUGCCUCAUGAUAUUGCCACUGAGAUUCCCAAUGGAUGAGAAACAGACUUUACCAUGUUCACAUGAAUCCAGGUCCUACCCCUACAAUGACCACCUUUUUUGACAGAUUUCUAGUCUUAGAGGGGCAGAAGGAAAUGUCAGUGCCUACUUUGGAUGCAGCACUCCCUGGAGAUAGUUUGACUUUAACCAGUUCCAUAGGCAGAGCACCCAGAGACUAGCAAAUACUCACCAACUACCACUGGAGAUUCUGUCCCAAAGGCCUCAAAGGAAAAUGUUUAAUAUCCAUGUCAACGAGAUCAUAAUGCAGGACAGCAUCACAAGGCCACCAAUAACCUCACAUUGACGGUCCUGAAUAUUGGCUCUGAUAUACAUUGGGCAAUGCAGUGGAAGGCUACCAGCUGUGUUCCCUAGGGAAGUAUGGGCUGUCACAAUACUGGAUGAUUACCAUGAACAACACCAACCCCAGAGACAGAAGCACAUUUUACUUCUUAGUGUAUUUUCCUAGUAAAAUGUUAUGGACUGGAAAUAAUUUUGAAUUCACGUUUAAUUUAGAAAAUGUGCUUUUCCAAUCAAGAUUUGCUCCCAAAUGCUUAACAAAAUUGCCAGUCUAUUGGUUGAUCAGUAUCAUGGGAAACUGGUCAACAUAACUUCAACUACAGAACAACUCAAUUUUCAAAGGUCUUGGUUUGUGACUUGUGCAUCAAAUAGCCAAAUUAGAUGAACGGAGAUAUUUACAGAAUUUGAGCAUGGAGUAUCAUUCCAGAAUAUAAUUUCAGAAAUCAAAACAACAAUAAUGUUAACAAUAAAAACAAUUUGGACAACUAUAACUAUGGUUUAAGACCAAGACCAGAUAGACUGGCUGGUCAUCAAGGUGAAUCAAUUUCUGGUCUUAAGGCAUCAUGACCUUCAGUGGAGAAAAACAGCUUCAUGAAGUACUACAGUGUCUUCUAUGUGUCAGCUAUCUAUCACCAGCAAAAACAAAUGUAUAACUGUUAGUCAUCUGGAUUACUUAUAGUGACCAACAACUUUUGAAAUGCCAACAUAGCACCCACAAGCAGAAAUAUUAACAGCUAGGGAACCAUGCCAGGGUUGGUGUAGCUGUCCAGUGACCCAUUUGGGCCACAAUCUUCCAUAGCAACAAGUGUUUUCAUCCCAGUCCUCACAUGGGUGGAUUUAGACUCAAAUCCAUGUCGCUGAAUCAAAAACACACUGGUUCCUGGAAAUGCCACCACAUUCAUGGAACAGACUGUCAGUUCUUUCAUAUCCCAAUAUUUAACUGGUCAAGUGACAGUAUAAAUGACAUAAAAACUCAAAAAAGAAAACUCCAAGUCAUGGAAUCCAGAAACGCAGUACAACGACUACAGCAGUCCCACCUAUGUGGAUUUUGGCCCUCUAAUUUAUAUGUACAGAGAUACACGACCUGUGGGUGCUUGCUAAACUAUUGUAAUUGUAAUUUCAAUAAUUUUAGUCACUUUCAAUUUCACAUGUUUUCAUUGUACAUAUACAAUGGCCUGCAGUGCUUUUCUUCCUACAAAUCCUGACAAACUGCUCCUCCUCACUCACUCACCACUGGCACUGCACUGCCCACUACCCACACACAAAAGUCCA